GGCUGCGUGGCUCAGUGGUGUGAGCCUGGGGAGCCUAAGCGCUCGCCUAAUUUUUAGUGCGAUCCAAAGGAAGGCGGUUCAAAUCCGCCCGCAGUCG